rnacentral:misc_RNA from 1 species
GCAAGGGAAUCUUUGAUGUGAUUAGUGGAACAAGUUUCAGGGUGAUUGUGGAAAAUGAGGAACAGGUUGAGCUCUCAUUCACAAGAAUGUGGGAUCCCUCCCUGGAGGGAAAGUACAUUCCCCUAAACAUAGAUAAAAGGUUUAUAUUACUCCGUGGUUCUUCAGGCUUCUACUCUUAUGCCAUCUAUGAGCACUUACAAGAGUGGCCAGGUUUUGAACUUGGCGAAACCAGGAUCACUUUCAAACUCAGAAAAGACAAGUUUCAGUAUAUGGCUGUAGGAGAUAAUCGGCAAAGACUGAUGCCCCUGCCUGAUGACCGUAUGCCAGGAAGAUGUCAAACCCUGGCCUAUCCAGAAGCCGUCCUUCUUGUUAAUCCUAAGUUCCCAGAGCUUAAAGGAGAGGUGGAUGACAAGUACCAAUAUUCAUGCAAUAAUGAAGACAAUCAGGUCCAUGGGUGGAUGUCCUUCAACCCACCAGUGGGGUUUUGGCAAAUUACACCAAGCAAUGAAUUCCGAACUGGUGGGCCCCUCAAACAGAACCUGACCUCACAUGUUGGCCCCACCACGCUUGCUAUGUUCCAUAGUUCACAUUAUGCGGGAAAUGAUCUGGUGCCAAGGUGCAACCUUGGCGAGCAUUGGAAGAAAGUUUUUGGCCCAGUUUUCAUCUAUCUUAAUUCUGCAUCAACUGGAAAUGACCCACUUUUUCUGUGGGAAGAUGCCAAAAUACAGAUGAUGGCUGAAGUCCAAAGCUGGCCAUACAGUUUUCCAGCCUCUGCAGAUUUCCAAAAGUCAGCAGAACGAGGGAAUGUAUGUGGUAGACUACUUGUCCAAGACAUGUGUAUGAGUGAGGACCAUAUUAUAGCAAGUGGUGCUUAUGUAGGGAUGGCCCCACCAGGUGACGUUGGAUCAUGGCAGAGAGAAUGCAAGGACUACCAAUUUUGGACCAGAGCAGAUGAGAAUGGCUUUUUCUCCAUUAAAAACGUCCGUACAGGGGACUAUAAUCUUUAUGCAUGGGUUCCUGGAUUCAUUGGGGAUUAUCGAUUUGAAGCUGUCAUUACCAUAAACUCAGGUUGUAAUAUCGAAAUGGGUGAUCUUGUAUAUAAGCCUCCUAGAGAUGGACCUACAUUGUGGGAAAUAGGCAUCCCUGAUCGUUCUGCUGCAGAAUUUUAUGUUCCUGAUCCUGAUCUAGUGCAUGUCAAUAAAUUAUUUAUCAAUCAUCCUGACAGGUUUAGGCAAUAUGGGUUGUGG